ensembl:misc_RNA Metazoa_SRP Metazoan signal recognition particle RNA
GCUGGGUGUGGUGGUGUGUGCCUGUAGUCCCAGCUACUCAGGAAGCUGAGGCAGGAGGAUGGCUUGAGCCAAGGAGGUCAGGCUGCAGUGAGCUAUGAUCACGACACUGCACUCCAGCCUGGGCGACAGAGCAAGACCCUGUCUCUA